CCGUCACAACGGCUUCCUGGCGUGGCGGGGGACAAAACUCAAUGGAGCA
rnacentral:ncRNA from 1 species